GAAAUCAAGCAGAAGAGGCAGGAAACCAUCAACCUCCUAAUAUCUGUCCAGAUACUGAUAACACACUGAUUUGACUGCUCAGCAGAGCAGUGCUUAUUACUAAGGUUUUCUCUUUCCUGAUGAAAAGCUGUGUGCAACAAACACUUCCCAGAAGAGCCAAGGUGUCACUCAUGAGAAUCAUUUGUAAUAUGCAAUUGCGUUGGGUUUGUGUGACAAGGUUUGGGUCAGAGAGACUGAAGGAGUAGCCUCUGAGAGAAGAGUCCAGAAGCUGUCCCGUGUUAUGUAAGAGCCAGAUCCAUCUUGCUCCAAAAGGAACCUACCAACAGGCCAAAGCUGAACCAAUGAGAAAUGUAAGAAGCGUUGUUUGUUGUGCCUCUGGGAUAAUGUACUUAAGAAUGGCUAAAACAGCUGCUAGAAGAGGAGUGUAAGAAAACAGAAACAACCAGACAGGCAACGCUGUCAGUGAAGAAGGUGGGGGAGGAAAUGCUCCAGGUGUCGGAGCAGAAGUUCCCCUACAGCACAAUGACACAGGUUUUCCCCUGGAGCCCAUGGUGUACCAUUUCACAGCAAUACCCACAGUACAGUCCAUGGUGGGGAAGGUGAAUAUAAUCUGAAGGUGCACAGCCCAUAAGAGCCCCUCUAGGAGCAGACUGCUGGCUGGAAUCACAGCCCACAGAGAGGAAACAAUGGUAGAACAGGAGGUCUUCAAGACCCAACAAACAGUUCAAUGAACCUCUACCAUAAACUAGAAAAAGCUUUAGAAGGAAAAAGAAAAAGAGAAUGUGAAAUGCAUCUUUGCUAACAUAACCCAGUUUGGAAAGUAUUCAUAAUGCUAAAGUCAGACUAGUACUGCUAUGCUGAAAACAACCAAAAGUGCAUUAUUUAUAUUAAGGAAAACUUUGUGGCAGGUGUAGUGGAUGCCAAACACAGAAAUAGGUCAAGCAAACAAUUCAGUGAAUUUGUGGAAAAUGAAUCAAAAGCUGCUAUGAAAAUUAUAGGUUGGAUAGAAAUUUCAUAUAGACAUUGGUAGAACUUAAUAGUGAAAGUUUUCUCUAUUUUUCUACAUGUUGUUUUAUUCCUGGAUGUCAGCCACUGGCUAUUGUCUGAGGUCAAUAAAUUAUCAAGGGUAAGCUC
ensembl:lncRNA